AGUGAACGCUGGCGGUAGGCCUAACACAUGCAAGUCGAACGGCAGCACAGUAAGAGCUUGCUCUUACGGGUGGCGAGUGGCGGACGGGUGAGGAAUACAUCGGAAUCUACUUUUUCGUGGGGGAUAACGUAGGGAAACUUACGCUAAUACCGCAUACGACCUACGGGUGAAAGCAGGGGAUCUUCGGACCUUGCGCGAUUGAAUGAGCCGAUGUCGGAUUAGCUAGUUGGCGUGGUAAAGGCCCACCAAGGCGACGAUCCGUAGCUGGUCUGAGAGGAUGAUCAGCCACACUGGAACUGAGACACGGUCCAGACUCCUACGGGAGGCAGCAGUGGGGAAUAUUGGACAAUGGGCGCAAGCCUGAUCCAGCCAUACCGCGUGAGUGAAGAAGGCCUUCGGGUUGUAAAGCCCUUUUGUUGGGAAAGAAAAGCAGCAGGUUAAUCCCCCGCUGUUCUGACGGUACCCAAAGAAUAAGCACCGGCUAACUUCGUG
rnacentral:rRNA from 1 species